CCUACGGGAGGCAGCAGUGGGGAAUUUUCCGCAAUGGGCGAAAGCCUGACGGAGCAACGCCGCGUGAGGGAUGAAGGCCUCUGGGCUGUAAACCUCUUUUUUCAAGGAAGAAGAUCUGACGGUACUUGAAGAAUAAGCCACGGCUAAUUCCGUGCCAGCAGCCGCGGUAAUACGGGAGUGGCAAGCGUUAUCCGGAAUUAUUGGGCGUAAAGCGUCCGCAGGCGGCCUGGAAAGUCUGUCGUUAAAGCGUGGAGCUUAACUCCAUUUUAGCGAUGGAAACUACAAGGCUAGAGUGUGGUAGGGGCAGAGGGAAUUCCCGGUGUAGCGGUGAAAUGCGUAGAUAUCGGGAAGAACACCAGUGGCGAAGGCGCUCUGCUGGGCCAUAACUGACGCUCAUGGACGAAAGCCAGGGGAGCGAAAGGGAUUAGAUACCCCUGUAGUCCUGGCCGUAAACGAUGAACACUAGGUGUCGGGGGAAUCGACCCCCUCGGUGUCGUAGCCAACGCGUUAAGUGUUCCGCCUGGGGAGUACGCACGCAAGUGUGAAACUCAAAGGAAUUGACGG
rnacentral:rRNA from 1 species